rnacentral:lncRNA from 1 species
AGUAUGGGAUGAUUGAAGCCAUUGCACACUUAAUUCACAGAGAUUAUGAUGCCAUAGUAAAAGAUUUUGUCAAACUUGGUUUCAUACCUGAUGGGGUCAAUCUGGCACCUAUAUUACCUGUCCUGGCCAAGGUUUUUGACCAGGCACUUGAAGGUGGAGGAGCUAAAAACAUCAACUUUCAGGAGUUGGCUGCAGAUUUGGCGCAGAUAACUUUUGACUAUCCUUUCAGAAUCCCUCCUUAUUUCGCCCUUAUAAUUAGAGCAAUUGGUGUGCUCGAAGGGAUAGCUCUAGUGGGGAAUCCUGAAUUUGCUAUUGUGGACGAGGCUUAUCCUUAUAUCGCUCAGGUAUUUUUAUAUGAACUCUGUAACUUUUAUCUAGCACACCCUCUUUCACUGAACCUUUACAAAAUACUGAUGAUUGUUUUCUUCAUGUGAUUACCUUAAUACUUAGAGGCUCCUGACCGAUGAAUCUCCUCGCCUGAGGGAGGCUUUACGCUACACAAUAUAUGGGAAGACUGGCGUUUUUGAUGCUGAGAGAUUCAUCGAUGUGAUGCAAGCCUUUGAGACUUUCAUUACAGCAGCCAAAAGUGGAGGAGGAGAAGAUAUGAAUGGGGGCAUGGCUGAGCUGGCUCUUCUGCAAAACCAGACAAGCAGUCGGGUUCCUAUGUUUCCAGCCAGUGCAUCCCAACCAAACCAGCCAGCUCAAACGCGAGUCGCUUUGUCUUUUCUGCUUUCCGAGAAAGGAAACUUCUUCCGCGAGUUUCUACUGGAUGAGGUACUCACUAACAAAAUCUAACCACUUAUUUCGCCUUGUCAGAAAAAUACUCUGAACUAAUUAAAAAAUGAAUGUGAAUCUAGACAAUUAACUUGUUGACAAGCUCAGAGCUACUUAUUCAUGGUGUCCUGAGUUCUGACAGAUGUUGUGAUUACUGAAAACAGAUAGUAAAAGGCAUCGAUGCAAUCACAAGAGAACAGCUGGUGCAAGCAAUGGCGGUCUUUGGAUUCAGAAACGCACCACCAAUUUUCGGUAUGGUACCUUCACUAGGACCUUUCAGACCUGCAGGACUUCUUCCAUCUGUAACAGAAGAAGACAAAGUCAUCUUGAACAAUGUUCAGAAAGUAAUCGAGUUCCUUACUGGAAGAAGCUCCAUGUCGAAUAAUCCCAAUCAGGUUAGUUUCUCUUGGACCUUCUCAUAUAAUUCUGUAUUACCAGAGUACUGAACUUGUGUGUGUUCAUUAUCAUAAAACAGGUAGUAGAUGUAACUCAAGUGGUUCGGGAACUGCUUCCUGUUUUGCCUGGAAUCUCUGUGACAGUAUUGCCGGAUAUUAUGAGUCGGCUUGGGUCAAGAGUAAUGGCUAGAAUAGUUCGAGAUACCUUUUUGUAAAUACUGUUGAGCUUUAGUAUAAUUGUGCCUAUAAGUUGCAUUCUAAAGUACCUAAAAAGAUAUACUAGGAUGAUACCCGCGUUGAAACGCGGUUUUUUUUUAACUUAACCAAUAAAAAUUAUGUAUUAUAUACAAUAGAUUUGUUGUAUUAUUUAAUUUAUUUUAUUUUUAAUUUAAUAUUUGUUCAAUAAAUUAUUCAGGUAAAUUUAUGAGAAAAAGACUAGGAUAGCACCAAACCAAGUUUUUGUUCCCAAAGUAGCACUCAAGGCUCAAAAUCACAAAAAUAGGUUUUAUUAAAGAGGUAAAUAUACACUUAGGUGGGGGUAUUGGUUCUUGAAGUUUGAUGGAAUUUAAAGGAAAUAUAGUUUCUAUUAAAUUCUACUGUUAUUCAAUUAUGAAUUUCAUCAAUUCUUUCACAUUCUUGUGUUAUUGAAUUAAAGAUUUCUAUUCUGAUUUAUAAUUACUUUAAAUUCUACUGUUAUUCAAUAUUUGAUAGAUUUUGUAGUAAUGUCAAUUGAAAAGAAUUUAAUGGAAAAUGUAUUGUCAAUAUGUAAAGAAGCAAUUCCUUAAUUUUAUGAUGAGAUUUGUCAUCCUAGUAAAAUUCUAACGGUGGUAGUAUAACAAAUAUACCGAUAUUUUGAUUUGUACUCCCACCUAAAAACAAAACAAGCGAAUAACAGAAAUAUCUUUUGUAAAUGUUUUCAGAAAAUCCCUACAAAUUAGUACUUAUCAAAACUUCAAAUUGUUGUUGACAAUAAUCAAAUAACUAGAUCUCGACCCGCACAACCGUGCGGAUGAUUAUUUUUAUAUACAUAAUUAUUUAUUUUACAUGGCUAACUAUAAUAUUUAACAUAUUACAAAUUGUUUAAUAUAACAUUUUAGAGUGAAUAUACCGUGACUUUAUUCGCAAGUAAUCUUGUAUAUUAAUUGUAGAAUAUUUUAAAUAAGUUGGUAUGGUUAAUUGUAUCGUAGAUAUGCAUAUCUUGAUAUAUUAGAGGAUAUUCUUCUUAGUUGUUUCGAUAUUUUAUUGCUAAAUUUUAGGACAUUUCAAAUCAGAUUUGAGGGGAAGUUAUAAUUCGAUAAUAUUGUUAGAAUAUCUUUUUUUGAACGUUAUUGUAACAUGAUAAUGUGUAAAUUAGUUGUUUCGAUAUAAGAAAUAAUAUAUAAAAUAUAUCUUAUUUUAUUGUUGCAACAGAAACUUGGUUUUGAAAAAUCUUGUGCGGAUAAUUACUUGGACUGCACAUACGAUAUAUUGGCUAGAUGGUGAUAUGAUAUAUUACCUCUGUCUAAAUGGACCUAAUGAUAUAUUGGCUAGAUGGUGAUAUGAUACGACGGGUUUGAUGGUUCUUUUCAGGUGAGCAUGUUUAAUUUUUACGUGAAACUGACAAAAGCAAUCUGAAACAGAGGUUUUAUGGACUAUUUUAGGUGAAAUUGUCGAGCUGUUAACGACAUGUACAUUAACAAACCAGAACUGUAGAACAGAACUAAACAUAAACGAAAAUAUAUUAGUCUAUGAAGGAAAAUGAUUUCAAAACGAUGGAUUGUGUUUUAUGUUUUAGAUGGUUUACAUUUGCACUAUAUAACGGAUUUCAAAAUGAUUGUUGUGUGGGUCAAAAUUUAUAACCACUCCAAUUUUAUAGGAUCCGAUUAAUAUUAGGAAUGAUAUAUUAUGAAGCCAUAUUAUUAGAAGAUAAAUGAAUGAUAACUGAUUUCUAGGAAUAAGUCCAAUAGGUCCAUUUUUUAAAAUAUCACACAUGAAUCAAGGUUGUGACUUCUGUUUUAAUAUAUAAGAUAUAUAAGCCAUAGAUUCCAAUAAAUUCAUCUAGUGAGUAUAAUGAUUAUCAAGCAGGGACUUGUAGGACCAUUGUGUACCUCAGGUCUACCCACUGCUUAACUAGAUCUAUUGUAAGAUAAGCAAAACUUUUGGCCACCAAAAUACUUCAUCAUGUCAAUUUCUUUUUGACUCUGUCUGUGCUGUUUUCUGGUCAUUCUACAUUGUAGAAUCUACACAAUUUUCAUGUUUUAAGAAGUGAAAAUGUUGUAUAUUUGAAUUCUUCUUGUUAACAGUGGUGCUGUUUUUGUGCUACAGUUGCUUGAUACUGGCUUUUUCCAUGCUGACCCUCAUCCUGGAAAUAUGAUCCGUACCCCAGACGGAAAGCUUGCCAUCCUUGAUUUCGGUAAUGAUUCUAGUUCUAGAGUCACAUUCAGUUGUGUCUGAGAAAAUCCUUUUGUUGACAUUUUAUUUUUCUAUCCAUUGGCAGGUCUUGUUACGAAGUUGACUGAUGAUCAGAAGUAUGGGAUGAUUGAAGCCAUUGCACACUUAAUUCACAGAGAUUAUGAUGCCAUAGUAAAAGAUUUUGUCAAACUUGGUUUCAUCCCUGAUGGGGUCAAUCUGGCACCUAUAUUACCUGUCCUGGCCAAGGUUUUUGACCAGGCACUUGAAGGUGGAGGAGCUAAAAACAUCAACUUUCAGGAGUUGGCUGCAGAUUUGGCGCAGAUAACUUUUGACUAUCCUUUCAGAAUCCCUCCUU